AGAAUUACAAAAACACGGGACCCCCCACCGGGGCCCCCACUUCAACCCGGCUAACGGGCUACCGCUGGCCGGCGGACCGGGCCGCCCGGGGCUUACCUCGUUAUCGUUUACACAACUUUCAACAACGGAUCUCUUGGCUCUCGCAUCGAUGAAGAGCGCCGCGACAUGCGAAACGUAAU
rnacentral:rRNA from 1 species